rnacentral:rRNA from 1 species
AGAACGAACGCUGGCGGCAUGCCUAGUACAUGCAAGUCGAACGAAGGCUUCGGCCUUAGUGGCGCACGGGUGCGUAACGCGUGGGAAUCUGCCCCUUGGUUCGGAAUAACAGUUGGAAACGACUGCUAAUACCGGAUGAUGACGAAAGUCCAAAGAUUUAUCGCCAAGGGAUGAGCCCGCGUAGGAUUAGCUAGUUGGUGAGGUAAAGGCUCACCAAGGCGACGAUCCUUAGCUGGUCUGAGAGGAUGAUCAGCCACACUGGGACUGAGACACGGCCCAGACUCCUACGGGAGGCAGCAGUAGGGAAUAUGGACAAUGGGUGAAAGCCUGAUCCAGCAAUGCGCGUGAGUGAUGAAGGCCUUAGGUUGUAAAGCUACUUUUACCCGAGAGUGAAUAAUGACAGUAUCGGA